rnacentral:rRNA from 1 species
UACUAACCAGAAAGGCCACGGCUAACUACGUGCCAGCAGCCGCGGUAAUACGUAGGUGGCAAGCGUUAUCCGGAAAUUAUUGGGCGUAAAGCGCGCGCAGGCUGUUUCUUAAGUCUGAUGUGAAAGCCCCCGGCUCAACCGGGGAGGGUCAUUGGAAACUGGGGAACUUGAGUGCAGAAGAGGAGAGUGGAAUUCCACGUGUAGCGGUGAAAUGCGUAGAGAUGUGGAGGAACACCAGUGGCGAAGGCGACUCUCUGGUCUGUAACUGACGCUGAGGAGCGAAAGCGUGGGGAGCGAACAGGAUUAGAUACCCUGGUAGUCCACGCCGUAAACGAUGAGUGCUAAGUGUUAGGGGGUUUCCGCCCCUUAGUGCUGCAGCUAACGCAUUAAGCACUCCGCCUGGGGAGUACGGUCCGCAAGACUGAAACUCAAAGGAAUUGACGGGGGCCCGCACAAGCGGUGGAGCAUGUGGUUUAAUUCGAAGCAACGCGAAGAACCUUACCAGGUCUUGACAUCCUCUGACAAUCCUAGAGAUAGGACGUCCCCUUCGGGGGCAGAGUGACAGGUGGUGCAUGGUUGUCGUCAGCUCGUGUCGUGAGAUGUUGGGUUAAGUCCCGCAACGAGCGCAACCCUUGAUCUUAGUUGCCAGCAUUCAGUUGGGCACUCUAAGGUGACUGCCGGUGACAAACCGGAGGAAGGUGGGGAUGACGUCAAAUCAUCAUGCCCCUUAUGACCUGGGCUACACACGUGCUACAAUGGACAGAACAAAGGGCAGCGAAACCGCGAGGUUAAGCCAAUCCCACAAAUCUGUUCUCAGUUCGGAUCGCAGUCUGCAACUCGCCUGCAUGAAGCUGGAAUCGCUAGUAAUCGCGGAUCAGCAUGCCGCGGGGAACAAGUUCCCGGUCGAGUUUCACCCCGGCUCAGCAAGUCGUAACAAGGUAGCCGUAGAGUUUGCUCCUGGCUCACCAAGUCGUAACAAGGUAGCCGUAGAGUUACCUCC